rnacentral:rRNA from 1 species
UACGGAGGGUGCAAGCGUUGUUCGGAAUUAUUGGGCGUAAAGCGCACGUAGGCGGGUUUGUAAGUCGAUUGUGAAAGCCCCGGGCUCAAUCCGGGAAUUGCAGUCGAAACUAUAAGUCUUGAAUGUCCCAGAGGGUGACGGAAUUCCUGGUGUAGAAGUGAAAUUCGUAGAUAUCAGGAGGAACACCGGAGGCGAAGGCGGUUGCCUGGGGGUGCAUUGACGCUGAGGUGCGAAAGCGUGGGGAGCAAAC